rnacentral:rRNA from 1 species
AUGAAGCCACUUAGCAAUGAAGACUCAAGAAGACUGUUUUUUGGUAGGAUAUUCAACUCUGAAGAAGCUUGCCCUCACCAGCUUCGAGAUGUUUCUACUGAAAUUCUCAAAAAAUGUGAUGGUUUGCCUCUUGCAAUCAUUACUAUAUAAGGCAUGCUAGCAAAUGAAAGUUUCGACCAAGAGGAGUGGAAACAUGUACGGAAUUCUCUAGGUUCGGUAACAAAUUUCACGUUGGAAGGGAUGAGGAAUAUCUUAGACCUCAGCUACAAAAACCUUCCUCCUCAUCUCAAGACAUGCUUGUUGUAUCUUGGCAUGUAUCCAGAGGACUUUGGAAUAGGGAGGUCUCAUUUGGAACUUCAGUGGAUCGCGGAAGGCUUUGUUCCUAAAGAGAACGGACAAGAUGCUGAGAAGGUUGCAAGAAGUUAUUUCAACAAGCUUGUCAAUAGGAGCCUUAUUCAGCCUACAGAAUUUGACGAUCAAGGAAUAGUCACAAAAUGCAAAGUACAUGAUACGAUGCUUGAUCUUAUCUUGUCUAAGUGUAGGGAAGAGAAUUUUCUCACUAUAUUGGAUGACCCUCAAGCCAUCACAAAACUGGAUUACAAGGUCCGGCGGCUGUCUCUCCACUUGGAUGGUCCAAGUGAUGGAGCAAUGUUUUCAAGACCGGAGCUAUCAACCACUCAGCCAUCUCUCCACAGCCUAAUCCUUAUUUUACUACCAGGUAAAGUUAGUAUGUCACAAAUCCGGACAGUUAUGAUCUUUGGGGACUCUCACGGUAUGCCUCCUCUGUGA